AGCAGCCGCGGUAAUUCCAGCUCCAAUAGCGUAUAUUAAAGUUGUUGCAGUUAAAAAGCUCGUAGUUGAAAUUCGAAAAUUUGUCCUAUGGUCGGGCUUUACGGUCCGUACAGUAGUGGCGAAUUUCUACCUUCUGAAGAACCUUCAUGUCAUUAAUUUGGUGUGUUGGGAAAUCAGGACUGUUACUUUGAAAAAUUAGAGUGUUUAAAGCAGGCUAUAGUCUGAAUACAUUAGCAUGGAAUAAUGAAAUAGGACGGAUUGGUUCUAUUUUGUUGGUUUCUAGGAUCACCGUAAUGAUUAAUAGGGAUAGUUGGGGGCAUUAGUAUUCAAUUGUCAGAGGUGAAAUUCUUGGAUUUAUUGAAGACUAACUUCUGCGAAAGCAUUUGCCAAGGAUGUUUUCAUUAAUCAAGAACGAAAGUUAGGGGAUCGAAGACGAUCAGAUACCGUCGU
rnacentral:rRNA from 1 species